rnacentral:rRNA from 1 species
UACGAAGGGGGCUAGCGUUGCUCGGAAUUACUGGGCGUAAAGCGCACGUAGGCGGUCUUUUAAGUCGGGGGUGAAAUCCUGGAGCUCAACCUCCAGAACUGCCUUCGAUACUGGAAGACUUGAGUCCGGGAGAGGUGAGUGGAACUGCGAGUGUAGAGGUGAAAUUCGUAGAUAUUCGCAAGAACACCAGUGGCGAAGGCGGCUCACUGGCCCGGUACUGACGCUGAGGUGCGAAAGCGUGGGGAGCAAACAGG